UCUGUAGUCUGUAUUGAGUAGCCUGUACCACACUGCCUUUCCUUGCAGCUAUCUCCCAUCCUUCAGAACCACCUUCCUUGCUCUGUCCCUGGACUUUCUGCAGGGCCCAGUCACCCACUGCUUAACUGGCCAGAAAUGGAUAAUAAAAAAGUAUACUAUAGAGAUUACUGAUAAUAGAGAUACUGAUAAUUAAAAGACUGCAGCUAAUUCGCCUGAGAGUCACUAAGAUGGUUGGUACCACAGGCUAUAAACCCUGGUCAGUCACCUGGGAUAGGAACUGAGCUCUUUGCUUAAUCUCUUCUCCACUAUAAAUGAGGGGACAGAAGAGUUCAUGGUGAGAGUUCUGUUUCUCCCUUGAAGUCAAAUCUGUUUUAUACCUUAGCAACUCAGCAGCAGUGGUUGACUCAAGAAUGCACUGAAGGAAUGAAAGUUUCAAGAUGACAGUCAGUGAACAAGACAGCAUAGAGAAGUUGACCUGAAUAUGACUGACAGUUAUUAUUUCCCAGGAAUUCUCUUUGAAACUGAACACAAGUGUUACAGCUGGACCUGCAGUGACCCAUAAAAUUUAA